rnacentral:misc_RNA from 1 species
UUUUUUAAUGGCAUAUGUGAUGAAUUUGUAACUAGCUAGAUGGAAUGCCCUUUGUUUUUAUUGAAGAAUGGAGUCAAAUGCAAAUUUGUUAAGUAAAGAUAAUUGGAUUUUUUUAGUGUUGAUAUAUGGCCAAAUCCAAUCUAAUUAUUUCUGUUUUAAACCUUAAUUGGUUUGAUUUGACUUUUAUGUAAUUUGGUUUGGUCUUGAAACCAUAUGAAAACUGAUUGCCUCGACUGAAUGCUCUGUCCUAUAGUAGAGAAAGAAGCAGAGAAAUAGAAAGGAUGGGGGAAAGACAAAGAAAACAGAAGACUAGGAAAGAGAGAGGAGAUUAAAUAAAAAAUGUUAUUGCCCUAAUUGAAGAAUAAAGGAGAAUUAUGAG